AAGCGUUGUUCGGAAUUAUUGGGCGUAAAGCGCGUGUAGGCGGUUUGUUAAGUCUGGUGUGAAAGCCCUGGGCUCAACCUGGGAAGUGCAUUGGAUACUGGCAAACUUGAGUACGGGAGAGGAUAGUGGAAUUUCGAGUGUAGGGGUGAAAUCCGUAGAUAUCAGGAGGAACACCGGUGGCGAAGGCGGCUACCUGGACCGAUAUUGACGCUGAGACGCGAAAGCGUGGGGAGCAAACAGGAUUAGAUACCCUGGUAGUCCACGCCGUAAACGAUGAGUACUAGGUGUUGCGGGUAUUGACCCCUGCAGUGCC
rnacentral:rRNA from 1 species